AUUUAACACGUUGGCUGCCACGACACCCGUAUUCGGGUGUCAGCAAAGUUUCUGGCCGCGUAACCCAUAUACGGGUGUCGCUUAUUUGACUACUUGCGAAGGAUCGUCGUAGGUAUUUGAAAAGAUAUUCCAUAAUAAUAAAACUGUUGAAUUGUUAUAAAAGUAAUACGAAAAUGGUUUAUUAAAAAAUUAUUUAGAAUGUAAAACUUUAAAGCAUUCUAUAUAUAGCUGAGGUUGGUUGGGACAAUUUGGACAAUAAGUUGUUGUUUCCUUCAAAUUCUUUUGUGCCUUUGUUCGGUCCAUUCGACGUCUUUUAUUUGCAUAACAUAAUUUGCAUGCGCGUCUAAUGCUUCUUCCGGAAUUAU
rnacentral:misc_RNA from 1 species